GACACUCUGGAGAAUCCCGGCUGCCGCCGGGUGCCGAAGGUGCAAAGCCGGGCUGACCGGCCAAUCUCUCAGGCGAAAGGACAGAGACGG
rnacentral:ncRNA from 1 species